CGACUCGCCCUGCCCCUUUGCACUACAGCCCGUGUUUGCGUUUCCACCAGCGCCUGCCCUCUCUCCUCUCGCUUCGCCUUUUCACACGGCACCACGCUCACCGUCUUCGCCCGAGGGACUGCUUCACGAAGUCCAGGCCAGGGAGGAGUUGAGGAGUCUGAGCAUAACGCUACGGAAUUUGAAAUCGCGGCGCCUCUCCCUCAACGUCGGCCUCUGGGAGGAGCGUGCUGCGUUGCCACGCCCCCGCACCACUGCGCCUGCGCACCCCUGAACUCGAAGGGGUGGGUGGGAGUUGGUGUCCUUUUGCUCCACUGCGCUUGCGCGGCAGACUCAGGGCUGGGCUUUUUUUCUGGCGCUGGGAGUCCUGGUCAUGACAGACCCCUAGAGGCUGUGGUCUGAAAUGCUCGCUGGGUUUUGGCCCUAUCGCUUCAAAGCUCCACCUCCCUCCUCCACCUCCCCCACCCCCCACUCCUAGUAUGAAGCCUCUAAUUUAAGAAGCACCAUUGGAGAAAUAGAAGAUGAUAAGACGGGAAGGAGCCACAGACCCUAAUACCAUGACCACUAAAGCCCUGAUGACUCCUGCCUGCAUCUCUUCCUGCCAAGUGUCACCAGAAAACCUCUGCCCCAUUGCCAUCUACUACCCUCACAUGACCUCCCUAGCCUCUGAAAGCAGACACUGGGAUGCUAAGAGAAUCAAAUGUGAAGAACCAAGGACUGGCCUCCCAAAUGUGUGUUCUCAGAUUUUGCUGAUGGUAAAGAAUGAGAAUUGAGGAAGAAAGAAUGUAUCUUCUGUCAGCCCUCCUCUCCUUAGCCUCUUAGCCUGCCUUUGGGUUCCUGACAUGAGUAUUGUGGCCUGGCUUCUCAGAGACUCUCACUCACCAGCACUCAUCAGCUGGGCUGCUGCCAGAGACACCGUGGCCUUGCUGUCAGUCAGACCCUCCAUGGCCGUCAGCACCAGAUUUGGUUUGUACUUUCAUAAUCGCCUUCUAUUUAAGUUUGUUCUAUGCAUGCUUCUCUCCCCAGUGGACUAUAAGAUCCAUGAAAAUAGAAAAACUGUCUUGGUCAUCUAUGUAUCCACUGUAACGCUUAGCAUGGUGCCUGGUGAGUAUUCAGUAACUGCUUGUUGAGAUAGCUGGAAUCAAACUGAACCAAGUGAAAUGGAAUUGAAUUGGUGGACAGGGAAAAAGACAAAGGGAGGAAAGAGAGAAGGUGGGGUGAGGGUGAGUAAUUGAGGCUAGGUAAUAUGUGACCAAGUUUGACAUAAGGGUAGAGAUGAGGGCCCAUGCUCCAGGGCAGGCUUCUGCUCACUCCAAAGUUGUUCCAUUUUGCAGUGAAGCCAAGAAUACGGGCAGCACACCACAUGGCCCGUUCCCUCUCAUUGUCGUUCUGGGAAUUCAGCCAUAUGUUCAGAUGCUAGAGGAAGAAGAGAAUGAAGGGAGAGACCUGUUAAGCUGUAUUCUGGAGGGUAGAAAUGUAACCUGAACCUGGCUUCUGCACAGGAUCAGGACAAGACUUCUGAGAACAGGACUUCUUUUGCUAUCAGGCAGGUUAUAUGUGGCUCUGGCACCAGAAGCCCUCAUACCUCCAGCCCCCAAUUUACCUUAUCUAAGUGCUAGAAACACCCUCAUUUAACACCUCCUUUUUUUCAAAUUAAAUCAGUGGCUCUCAAAUUAUAUUGACUAUUAUUCAUUUCAAUGGGGGUCAGUGUCCCCCAGGGUCCCCCAAUAAUGUUUUCCCAGUCUUCAAUAGAAAGAGAACUUGGUAGUAACAAAAAAGAGUCACUAUAUUCACAGAUUCCUAGCUGAAUUAUGUAUAAACUUGCUUGAGAAAUAUAAUUAUGGAUGAUUCCUAGUUGAAACAUAGUAUGUCAGUGUAUCACUAUUGGUAAAUUAUGGACCCAAAAUACCACCGAUCCAAAGACGCAUUGUCAACCUACAAUAAUCAAUCUGAUAUUAAUGGAACUAAACAAACAGCAAUUUAUAACUAAAAAAAAGAAGGGCAACAGAUGAAAAAUCUACAAGCAAUGGAAGAGAAUACUGAUGCUGCAUUGAUAAGAAAACGACAUUCUUCUUGAAGAUUGGAAGAAUUCUAGUGGGAGAUCUGCAAGUCUUCCUUGCAGCCAGACUCUGAUGAAAUAGCCCCGUGCCAAGACUGUGGUCUCUAAAUACCAUUUUUCACUAAGAGGAAUCAUUGGUCAUUGGAGAAACAGUUUAUCCCAGGAAUGAGACAGGAAAUAUACAAGAUAAUAUACUGGAGAGCAAGGAAGCCAUGAAAGACUAUUGGCAUUAUAUUAGAGGGAUUCAGGAGCUAACCUGAAGAGGCUCCCAUUGACCAAAGAAGGAACAAUUUAAGCAUCCAUAAGAAUAAUAGUUGUAAUUGAUCAAAACAUAUGAAGCAUUUAAAAAUCCAUUUUAGGGGCGCCUGGGUGGCUCAGUCGGUUGAGCGUCCGACUUCAGCUCAGGUUAUGAUCUCGCAGUCUCUGAGUUUGAGCCCGGUGUUGGGCUCUGUGCUGACAGCUCAGAGCCUGGAGCCUGCUUCGGAUUCUGUGUCUCCCUCUCUCUCUGCCCCUCCCCUGCUCAUGCUCUGUCUCUCUCUGUCAAAAAUAAAAUAAACAUUAAAAAAUUUUUUAAUUCAUUUUAAAUUUAUAUGAUACUAGAGAAAUAACCCUCACUAGUUAUCUUUGGAUGACUAGGAAAUAAAUACUUACAUUACCUUGACAGCUAAUCAAGGGAAACCAGCAUUUAUCUUGUCUUUCCUAUAUGAGCUAUACCUCAAAGUAACCAAACAGCUUAUAAAGUCGAUUUCUCUUUAUAGAAGAAUUCCAGGUAAAAAUAAACAAGCAAUGAUAGAAUUACAGUGUCAUCACUUUGCAAAAAUAAUAGAAGUAUAUUGACUCAGUGGACUACUACAUAGCAAUAAAAAAUGAUCUGAUGCUACAUGUAACAACAUGAGUGAAUCUCACAGAUAAAAUGCUGAAGCAAAAUGAUAUAGACAAAAAAAAGUACAUACUAUAAAAUUUCAUUUAUGUGAAGUUUAAAGAACAAGCUAAACUAAUCUAUGGUGAUAGAAGUCAGAAUAGUGGUUAUCAGUGGUUAUUCACUGGGAGAGGAAACUUUUGGGGGUCUUGGACAUGUUCUAUAUCCUGAUCUGAUAUUUA